rnacentral:lncRNA from 1 species
UGGUUGUUGAAACUCCCUGGGCCACUGAAUUUUCAUAUUUCUUUUCUUUUUUUGUAGAGAGCUGACUUUAGAGAGAUCAAGAAUAGCUUGCUGGAUGGAAGGAGAGGAAAAAAACAGAGACCUAGAGCUUUUAAGUGACUUGUUCAAGAUACAGUUUGUUCAUGGAAGAAUUACGACUGGAACUUGGGUCAGCUGAGCACUGCUAAGGCCAGGUUUACAGGUAGAGAACGGCCUUUAGUUUUGUAAAAUAUGCCUUAACGUAUUCACUGUCCAGAACAUUUCAAGGUAUAUGCUGAGUUUUUGUAAGUCACUAGCAUUGGAAUAAAAGGAGAGAAAUGAAGUGGAACAGAACAGAGGAAAAAGGGAGAAGGAAAGGGAACAGCUUCUCAGUGAGGAAGA